rnacentral:pre_miRNA from 1 species
GAAGUUGCCCGCGUGUUUUUCGCUUUAUAUGUGACGAAACAUUCGCGGUGCACUUCUUU